rnacentral:rRNA from 1 species
AUGGCUGCCACCGGAUUCAAUUCCAAAGCGUCGCCGCUGGAGCCACACCCCAUCAGGGCUUUCAUAUCCAAGCGUGAGACCGGCGAGAACUCAGAGUCCACCUUCGAGGCCACCACCACGACCGUGCAGCACGUCCUCAGGAUCAAAGGAUACCCAGCGCUGAGCGAGAUCUACCCAAACGGCAAAGGCUUCAGGUCGGACUCCUUCCCCGUGGGAGGCACGAGCUGGCACAUCGACUUCUUCCCCAAUGGCGACAGCCCGGAGACAGCCGGCUUCGUGUCCGUUUUCGCCGUUCUCGAUCGCACCGCCACCGAGGUCUCCACCAUGGCCAAGGUCGGGUUCGACCUGCUCGACCAGGCCACCGGAGAGCCCGCGCCGCGCUACGCUAGGGCCGGCAACAUCCACGAUUUUACCCAGCUGGGUGAAUACUGGGGCUUUGGCGACUUCAUCAAGCGGGAAGAGCUCGACAAGGACAAGGACUUGCUCAAGGACGGCACUGCCCUGUCCGUCAGGUGCAACGUCAUGGUCCUGGAUUUCCUGGCAGCCCCCGCCAUGCCGCCGCCACCGGACUGGCCACUGCACAUGCGUGACCUCCUGCACAGCGGGCAGGGCGCGGACGUGAGGUUCCUGGUCGGCGAGGAGACUUUCGCCGCGCACCGGUGCCUGCUGGCGGCGCGGUCGGCGGUGUUCAAGGCGGAGCUCUACGGCCCAAUGAUGGAGGGCGCCACCCACAACAUACGGAUCGACGGCAUGAGAGCCGAGGUGUUCAACAACUUGCUGCAUUUCGCAUAUACCGACUCGCUGCAGCAAUCGGACCAAGACGACGACGUGGUGGUGGCGAUGGCCCAGCAUCUCAUGGAGGCUGCGGACAGGUAUGCCAUGGAGAGACUCAAGCUGCUCUGCGAGGACGUGCUACGCCGGAAAAUCAGCGUGGCGACGGCGGCAACCACUCUUGCCUUGGCUGAGCAGCAUGGCUGCCACAGGCUAAAGGAGGCGUGCUUUGAGCUCAUCCUCAAGUCUCCCACCACACUAGAUCAAGCCAUGACACCAGAUGACUUGGAUCAUCUCUCCAAAACCUGCCCUUCUCUUUUGAAUGAGUUGACCUCCAAGCAUGCCGCCAUUUAUUCUAAUCUCAACAAUGAAAAGGCGGAGAAAUCGCUUCCUUCGUCAAAUAGAAAAAGGAGAAGAGCACCGACACCAAGUUUGGGGGCGGCCACCGUUCGCCACACCCGCCGGCGCCCCGCUCCAACACCCAGCGCCAACCAGCUCCCUGCUCGCCGUCUUCUUGGUUGA